AUGCCAAACCUUGGUGCUCUGCAAAUAGCAUCCAGCACGCAGCGACCAGCGAGAAUUCUCAUCUCAGAGGCAAGCAAGAAGCACCAAGGCAACAAGAGCAGAGGAAGCAGACAGAGAAAGGCACAGACAGAGGACAUAGACAUGGACAUGGCAGCAUCUUCCUCGGCGCCGGGCGCGUCCUACUUCAUCUUCAACUUCUCCGUGGCGCCGGCCGUGGUGGUCAUCUCCAUCAACGUCAUCCUCGUCUGGCUCUCCGCCCUCGUCAAGUCCUCCUCCUCAUCCUCUUCUUCGUCCUCCACCAGCCGCCGCUCGGCCGCCCCCGCUCCGGAGCAGGAGCCAGCGCAGCCAGCGCCGGCAAGUGGCGCCUCCGAGGUCGACCUGGACGUGGUUCUCGGGGUGAUGGGCGCGGGCAGCGCUGCCUCGAUCGGGUUCGAGGAGGCGGCCAUCCUGUUCGAGGAUGACGAGGCCACCGUGGAGGAGGCCGCGGCGGCGUUCCGCGUCUUCGACCGCAACGGCGACGGGUUCGUUGACGCCGGAGAGCUCCGGAGCGUGCUGAGAUCGCUCGGGUUCACCGCCGGCGUCGCGGCCGCGGAAUGCCAGCGCAUGAUCGACGCCUAUGACGAGAACAAGGACAGCCGGAUGGACUUCCAGGAGUUCCUCAACUUCAUGGAGAGGAGCAGCUCGUGA
rnacentral:rRNA from 1 species